rnacentral:rRNA from 1 species
GACGAACGCUGGCGGCGUGCUUAACACAUGCAAGUCGAACGGAAAGGCCCUGCUUUUGUGGGGUUCUCGAGUGGCGAACGGGUGAGUAACACAUGAGUAACCUUCCCUUGACUUUGGGAUAACUUCAGGAAACUGGGACUAAUACCGGAGAGGAGCUCCUGCUGCAUGGUGGGGGUUGGAAAGUUUAGGCGGUUGGGGAUGGACUCGCGGCUUAUCAGCUUGUUGGUGGGGUAGUUGCUUACCAAGGCUUUGACGGGUAGCCGGCCUGAGAGGGUGACCGGGCACAUUGGGACUGAGAUACGGCCCAGAGUCCUACGGUAGGCAGCAGUCGGGAAUAUUGCACAGUGGGCGGACGCCUGAUGCAGCAGCGCCGCGUGCGGGAUGCCGGCCUUCGGGUGGUAAACCGCUUUCGCCUGUGACGAAGCGUGAGUGACGGUAAUGGGUAAAGAAGCACCGGCUAACUACGUG